GGCUAUCUUGGCUGUUUUCUAGUUUUGCCAAUUAUUAAUAAAGCUGCUAUAAACCUGUGAGUUGGGUUUUGUUCAGACAUAAAUUUUCAGCUCCUUGAGGUAAAUACCAAGGAUCAUGAUUGCUGGAUCUUAUGUUAAGACUAUGUUUAGUUUUGUAAGAAACUGCCAAACUGUCUUCCAAAAUAUUUAUGUAUUAGUCAGGGUUCUCUUAGAUGGGCAGAACCAAUAGGAUAUACAUACAUACAUACAUACACACAUACAUACAUACAUACACACACAUACACACACACACACACAUUUUAUAUAUGGUAGUUUAUUAAGUAUGAACUUCCAAGACCACAAGACCCCACAAUAGGUUAUCUGCAAGCGGAGGAGAAAGGAGAGCCAGUCCAAGUCCCAAAACUGAAGAACUUGGAGUCCAGUGUUUGAAGGCAGGAAGCAUCCUGCAUUGGAGAAAGAUGUAGGCUGGGAGCCUAUGCCCUUCUUUCCUUUUUACGUUUUUCUGUUUGCUUUCUAUUUCUAGCAGCUGAUUAGAUUCUACCCACCAGUUUAAGGGUGGAUCUCCAUUCUCCAGUCCACUGACUCAAAUAUUAAUCUCUUUUGGCAACACCCUCACAGACACAGACACACUAGGAUCAUACUUUGUAUGGAUCAAUCUAAUCAAAAGUUGACACUCAGUGUUAAUCAUCACAGUCUGUAUCAUUUUGCAUUCCCACCAGCAAUGAAUGAGAGUUCCUGUUGCUCCACAUACUCACCAGCAUUUGGUGCUGUCUGUGUUUUGCAUUUUGGCUAUUUUAAUAGGCAUGAAGUGGUAUCUCUUUAUUUUAAUUUUUAAUUCUCUAAUGACAUACGAUGUUGAGCAGCCUUUCAUAUACCUAUUUGACAGCUGUAUAUAUUCCUUGGUGGCAUGUUUGUUCAGAAUUUCUUUAGCCUAUUUUUAUUUUUUUCUUAUUAUUUAUUUAUUUUUUAGACAAGGUCUGGCUCUGUUGUCCAGGCUGGAGUGCAAUGGUGUGAUCUGGGCUUACUGCACCUUCUGCCUCCCAGGCUCAAACCAUUCUCCCAUCUCAAUCUUAAUAUUUCUACAAGUACCCUAUCCAUAAGAGAGACGGUGGAUACUCCAUCUGCAGGUUUCCAGCCUUAUGCCUCUGUGUGUAGAAUUGAGACUCCCAGAACUGUGACUCUCUUUGUCUCAGAGCUUUUCCCAAACAUUAGUGUUUGUGCUCCAAAAGGGACAGGCCAACAAAUUAACACUUAGCACCCCCAUCCCUAAACCAAGACUGACAGAAGUUGAUAUGUAAUUUCCUCAAUUUAUUGGUAAUUAUAGUCAUAUAACAUUGAGCCAGGUGUUUUAAACACUUUUCCAGGCAGAAUUAAGCCUUAGUCACUUGCAGCUGUAAUUAGCUUGAUAACACACCUAUCCUUACAUUUCCUUACUCCUAUAUCAGCUUUUGUUAUACUUUUCAAAUAAAAUACCUGAGCUAGCAUCCUUGUCUUAGGGUCUAUUCCUUGAGUAGCUACAUUUUCUUGAUUUUUUUUUCUGAAUACUAUUAUAAUAUUUGACCUUGAUUUUAAGGGUAUAAAUAAAUAUGAUAAAUGUAUUUAAUAGAUCAGCAAUACUAUAACCUAAAAAGCUUAGAUAGAGAAAUGGACCAGUGGAUACUCUAGAAUUUAUCUUUGAGCUAUGGAGUGUGUGUGCAUAUGUGUGUGUGUGUGUGUGUGUGUGUGAAGUCAUUUACUGCCAAUCAGUCAAUAUACUGAUUAACUUGAUUGGCUUAUCCAGUUGUAGGAAAACCCGGUUUGCUUCUUUUUAACAAACAUACUGUCAAGUUAGAGACAACCCUACAUUUUUCUGUCUUGCAUAGAUACCACAAGGACCUUGCAGCUUUUUCUUUCACUAUUCUAAAUGGCAACUGACUACAGCAGUAGAAGUGUGUGCUCACAACAUAUUCCAUGUGUCAUCUCUAUCACCUGCCUUUGCUGCCUCCAAAUUAGGUGACAAUAAUGAUGUUUAUUUGGCAUCCCUUGUGGACAUAUUGCUUUCUUUUAAUCGAAAGUUAUAAUUAAGUUCAGAGAACCUUCCUGCAAACUUGUCCUGUGUGUAUUAGGUCUUAUAUAUAUUCUUUACAACUUAUGAAAUGCAAGCACUAGUCUUUCUUAGCUCUACAUAGCUCUAUAGAAUUUAAUUUUCCUUAAUUUAUUCUAAAAUUGUAAAAAUUAAUUGGGAGUCUUUGAUUGAAAUUUAUGUAAUUUGGGUUUGCACAAACAGAAAUUGGAGGAUCUCAGAGAAAGCAAGAGCAGAAAACUAAAGAGGCAUAAAUUUAGAAAAUCAUGCCAUACAUGACAAAGUGUUAAAUGAACCACAUUAGCUGUGGUUGAACAUAUAAAGCUGAGAACAAAUCAUGGAAAUCCUUAAAUGGAAUGGUAAGUAAUUUGGACUUAGCCAACUAGAGAUGAAAAAGCCUCAGAAAUUUUGGAGUAGAACAGUCAUGAAGAGUAGCUUUAGACAUAAUAGGCAGACAACUAAGCCUAUUUGGAAAUAUAAGGUAAGAUUGGAAAAUAAUUUUAGUACUUUUAAAAUAGGCUUUGUAAGAUAAAAUGUUUCCUAAAACCAAAUUAUUGACUUGGGAAUAAACAUGACAUAUUGUUUCUAAAGUAAAGCUUGCACUUAGUCAACUGUUUAACAGCCUUUAAUCCAGAAUGAUUGGUAGCAAUAGGCUGCAAGGUCCCUUUGGUGCCUCUGUGAAACAGAAAGAUACAAGGAUUUCUGUGGUCUGACAAGAAGUAAAUCAGAAAGUUGUACAUUGGGCUUUAUUACUAUAUUUACCAGCUGAUGUUUGGAAAUCACUCAAUAAAUGCAAUUACCUUUUAUAAUGUUCAGCAAUCAUUUCAAUAUGUGAGCUACGAC
rnacentral:lncRNA from 1 species